rnacentral:tRNA from 1 species
UCCUCGGUAGUAUAGUGGUGAGUAUCCGCGCCUGUCACGUGCGAGAGCCGGGUUCGAUUCCCGGCCGGGGAG